rnacentral:lncRNA from 10 species
AGUGAUCUCCAUGGAGACAAACAUCGAACUCACUCCCUCCAGUUUGUAAAACUGAAUGUGAAUGGCCAUUCCAAAUCGGCUGUCUUAAUCCACUCAGAGCAGCAGGAAGUAUUUAACUGUUCAACAUAUUAAAUGAACAAAAAAAUACAGGUGAGUAAGACUGACUCAUGGCUGGAUAAGAGGCAAAAGUAGAUGGCUUUCCAUUGGCCUGAUUAGAGACCUUGGAUGGGCUAAAGUGUAUCCUGUAGUUCACCACACAUCUCUUCCCAUUCUGGCCAGGCCUUGCCAACCUGGUGUUGGACCAGACUGUAAGGUAUGUGCAUUGUGGAGAGAAGCAAGGAAGCUGGGGGUGGAAUAAGGGCUCAGAACAAAUGCUGGAGCCAGGGAGUUCCAGAAAACAAGGGAGAGGGUUCUCAUUAGAUUAUGAGCAAGUCUAGAGCUAGGGAAGAACAUUUAUUUAUUUUUAUAUUUCUUAAGCCUAGUGCAGUGCCUGGCACAUAGUAAUUGCUCAGCAGAUAUUUGUUGACAGAAUAAUAAAUAAACUGAUGUGGACCUUUACUAACUUCACUACCCCUUUUUUCUAUGCAUCAAGAUUUCAGGUUAAAGUGCCUGAUGGCUGCCACUGGCAUUGCCACUUCUGAUCUUGUUCUCAUUUGCGAACUCCCAGCUUUUUGCCUGGCUUUGGGAGCCUGGUUGGGCCUCCAGCUCUGGCCUUCUAUGUCUGCUGCCAGCUCUGAAGUUCUGAUGGGAUCCGUGUCAGGCUGUGGCAAUUACCAGGAUGUAGUGGACUUAGUCACAUGAAUAACUCCAGGUCUGGGCAAAGACUUCUUGAGCAAUACCCGACAAGCAGAAGCAACCAAAGAAAACAUGGACAAAUGGGAUCACAUCAAGUUAAGAAGCUUCUGCACAGUAAAGGAUACAAUCAACAAAGUGAAGAGAUGAAUCAUAGAAUAGGAGGUAAUAUUUGCAAACUAACCGUCUGACAAGGGAUUAAUAACCAGAAUAUAUAAGGAGCUCAAACAACUCUAUAGGAAAAAAUCUAAUAAUCUGAUCCAAAAAUGGGCAGAAGAUUUGAAGACACAUUUCUCAAAAUAAGACAUACAAAUAGCAAAGGGACAUAUGAAAAGGUGCUCAACAUCAUUAAUCAUCAGAGAAAUGCAAAUCGUGACUACAAUGCGAUACCAUCUUACUCCCGUUAAAAUAGCUUAUAUCCAAAAGACAGGCAAAAAACAAAUGCUGGCGAGGAUGUGGAGAAAAGGGAACCCUCGUACGCUGUUGGUGGGAAUGUAAAUUGGUACAACCACUAUGGAGAACAGUUUGGAGGUUUCUCAAAAACCUAAAAAUUGAACUGCCAUAUGAUUCAGCAAGCCCACUGCUAGGUAUAUACCCAAAAGAAAGGAAAUUAGUCUAUUGAAGAUGUAUCUGCACUCCUAUGUUUGUUGCAGCACUGUUGACAACAGCUAAGAUUUGGAAGCAACCUGUGUCCGUCAACAGAUGAACAAAUAAAGAAAAUGUGGUGCAUAUACAAAAUGAACUACCAUUUAGCCAUAAAAAAGAAUAAGAUCCAGUCAUUUGCAACAAUAUGGGUGGAACUGGAGAUCAUUUUGUUAAGUGAAAUAAGCCAGGCACAGAAAGACAAAUAUCACAUGUUCUCACUUAUUUGUGGGAUUUAAAAAUCAAAUCAAUUGAACUCAUGGAGAUAGAGAGUAGAAGGAUGGUUACUAGAGGCUGGGAAGGGUAGUGGGGAGUUUGGGGGAUGGGCCGGGAUGGUUAAUGGGCACAAAAAUGAGAAAGAAUAAAUAAGACCUACUUUUUAAUAGCACAAUAAGGUGACUAUAGUCAAUAAUAACUUACUUGUAUAUUUUGAAAUAAAGAAUGUAAUUUGAUUGUUUGUAAACUAAAGGAUAAAUGCUCGAGAGGCUGGAGAUCCCAUUCUCCCUGAUGUGCUUAUUUCACAUUGCAUGCCUGUACCAAAACAUCUCAUGUACCCCAUAAAUGUAUACACCUACUAUGUACCCACAAACUUUAAAAAAAAUAAAGAAAACUCCGGUUGUUUAGAUACCUAGAUGUGGCCUAAAAGAUUUUUUGAGAAUCAUUAAUAAAUGAUUAGUUACAUAUAUGCUUAGAUGCCAUCAAAGCACAAAAAAUAUGUAGAUUUCUUUGGUUAGCUGAAGGUUCUGUUUGAAUGUGGAAAACGUUAGGGUGAGAAUGAUCAAAGGCGAUUUAAUGUUUAAUCUGGUCUGGUUCACCAGAACCUUAUAAAGAGCCAACUGUGGAAAUCCUGUUUCCUCCCAUUCCCCCACCCUAGUGGUACACACAGUUAGAGCCAAUGUAAAUAGUGAAAAUCAAAUAUUCUGUUUUUGCCUAUUGAAUUUCUUUUGUGGAAGUUUGAAAUGGUUAGCUGAGUAUUUUAACUAAACUGAACAGAAUGCCAGAAAAGUCUUCUUUGAAAUGUGAAAUACUUUUAGCCUCACAAAAGUUCAUAUAAAAUAUAAGAAUACUAUGAAUGUAAGAAUAUGACUGUGGAGACUAUUCACUCUUGUGUGCAGAAUGUCGAAACUUACAGAGUCGUAUACAACUCAGUCUGUGGUACUUUGCGAGAAAGUUCUCUAUAGCUCCAGGUACAAUCACAUAUGGCUUUCCCACUAGUUCUUUUCCCUUUCUCCCUCCCCCUCGUUCAUUUCCCUUUCCCAUUCCCCCUUUCCUUGAGUGACAGAUAACUGUAUAACACCAGACUUCAAAAAAAGAAUUAAAGAUUAAAUUUAGAAUGACCACAUCCUUAACAAUAGCUUUCCUUUCUAGCCACAAGCAAAAACCUUGAACUUAAGAUGAUUACCAUGACUGGCACACUAAACAAAUAGAAAUUAAUAGCAAAGAAGUGACUCUCAGUCCUCUGAGCUCAAGGCGCAGUCUCUCCUGGAGGUGACUGGGCAGUCAGGAGCCCUCAAGGUUUUAUCAGAUGCUAUAGCAAAGUAGUAGAAACAGUAGGUGGGCCCAUUAAUCCUCUCUGUACUGAGGGUUAUGGGGAAAAUGUGUUUCAGACUUGCAAGCAGUUUGAGUAUGGCUCUGGAAAUCUCAAGUUAUUCCUGCUCUAGAGAAUAUAGAGGGUGUUAAAUCAAUUUGUGUGGAGAGAUGACCACUACUGGUCAAAGUGAAGGUACACUUUCAUCUUCUCUGAGGUGCCAAAAUCCCCCCUGAGGCUCUUGAGAUUUAGCUAUCCUCUUCCCUGGGGUCUGGAUUUUCCAAGGCAAUCCAGGGCUCUUUCCUUACAAUGUAGCUACCUUCUGUUUUGGGGUCACCACUACUCAUCAUUUUCACUUUUCUGAGUCACCAUCACUGAUCAAUCACCCUCUCAUGCCCAGGAAGAGAAUCUCAACACCAUGGAAAGGUCCUGGCUUAUCCUGGCUAUGUUUUUUACUUCGUUCCUUUAGUGGGGGCUCUUGUCUAAGGAACACUGACACUUAUGUAGCAGGCAGUCACUGUACCCCAAUAAUCCCUGAGAAAACAAGUUGACAUUAAUAGCAGUAAGUCACAUUUCAGUGGCUGAUUUUAUAUUUUCCUUUAUAACACAAGACUUCAGACCCUCUGUUCCAAGUCUCUCUCAGUUACUUCUGGUAUCACUCAGUUUCUUCUCUGUUACUUCAUGGGGCCUUUUAUGAGCUCAUAACCAGUUCUACCAUGUAAGAGUGGCUCCUUGUUCUCUGCCAAUCUUCAUGAGACCGUUGUUGAUCCUUUUCUAGAACAUUCCAAAGUUGCAAACCUGUGAGAUGCCAAAAUGGCAGCACAUUUAGCUUUCACUCCUCUAGAACCACAUUGCCUCAAGCAGGAGAAAACGCACUUUCCUCAGUAUGUUGUCCUUUGUUACUUGGUCAUAAAACAACGACAACAACAACAACAAAAAACACGCCAUCUGUGCUCCAAUGUAUCAGAGUCCUCAUGACAGCAACCCUUUUGUCUUCUAAUUGAAGCCCUGUUUUUCACAGGCUCACAGCUGGCAUUUUGGGCUGAGUGGGGGCAGAGUUUGUUCUUCAUCUUCCCGCAUCUUGCUCUAGGUGUCUCUACCACAACUCUUCCUUACAGACUUUUGGCUCCUGUUUGUGUGUUUAUAUUUUGGGACAUUCCUUUUCCCUUUAAGGAGACUAGAGCUUUUCCUCUCACAUUUCAUGCACCAGAACCUGGUCACUUGGCUACCUCUAGCUGCAAGGGAGGCUAAGAAAAUGUGGUCUUUUAUGCUACCUGUAUCUAGCCAAAAAAUUAGCAUUCUAUUUUUAAAAAGGAGGAGAAUAAUGUAUUUUGGGGCAAAGAGCCAGCAGUCUCUGCCAUAGUGUUUAACUCACAUUUUAAUGUUUUCUCUUCUCAUCCCUCCCCUUUAUACAUAUUGUGGGGAGGACAGAGUUUGCUCAUUGGUCUGAAUAUGGUACACAUUUUCCCACCUCUGUGCCCUUUUUCAUAAUGUUUCCUUGCUUGAAAUGACUCCGGACUCCUCUUCUCGCUUGGAGCUCUCAUCCUUUAAGGUCCAUAUUGAAGCUACACAAAGUAUGUUGUACAAUUAAGAUCCCAGAUCUAAAAUCCUUUGACUAUCUUUUUAAUUAAAGAGAUCAUUUGAGCCUAUCGAAUGAAGCUGAGAGAUGCAGCUCAAGUUUUCCUAAUUCCUACCUUCCACACUAUCAGCAGCACAAAGUUCAUCUGCAUGAACUAUGCACCCUAAAUCCAGACAAGUCCUUGUCUUGUAUGAUGAUUACUCUGUAUUACUCUGACCCAGGCACUUCUCCACUAAUGCACUUUACACCUGUUAGCUAAUUUAAUCUCAACAACUCCAUGAAGGAGGUGCUAUUGUUAGUCCUAUCUUAAUAGCUAAUAAUUCAUAGCUAAUAAAUUUUAUAAUAAAUUAUAAAUAAUAGCUAAUAAAUCCUCCUACACAAAGUAUGGUGAUAAC